GACGUAGGAUGCAAGCGUUGUCCGGAUUUAUUGGGCGUAAAGAGUUCGUAGGUGGUUUGUUAAGUCUGAUGUUAAAGACUGGGGCUCAACCUCGGGAGUGCAUUGGAUACUGGCAGACUGGAGUGUAGUAGAGGCAAGCGGAAUUCCCAGUGUAGCGGUGAAAUGCGUAGAUAUUGGGAAGAACACCGGUGGCGUAAGCGGCUUGCUGGGCUAUAACUGACGCUGAGGAACGAAAGCGUGGGGAGCAAACAGG
rnacentral:rRNA from 1 species